AGGCAAGCAACGAGGGAGGAGGGACUCAGCUCUCACUUGUGCAGAGGACCCAAACUUAAGCUCCCCUUUAUCCGCACGACCCACAGCCCUCAACUCUACAGCAGCCAGCUUAACAGGCUGAAUUCCUUCAGAGCUGUGCUGCGGGUUCCGUAUUCCAAAGGUCAUAAUGCUUCAGCCAAAAAUGCCACAGAAACGGUGCCUUGUGUUUCCAGGUUACUUCACGGGUCUCACUAGGCGUCCUCUUCUGCUCCCCAGCUUUGGCAUUCUGCUUGGCCACCAGACAACAGCCGUGUGCCCUGUUAGCCAGUGAUCGCCCACUGCAGCUUUCCAUGGCCAGUGCCUGCAGGGAGUGUUGUGGGGAGGAGGACCUUAUCCCAAGAGUCCAGAUGCUGGUGUAUUGGCCCCGUGAUGUUUUGUGUUCACCUGUUCUGGGCGGAGUUCCCUCUCUGCGAAUGCCCUAAUGGUGUGUAAUGAUCAUUGCUGUGUGUUUCCUACUCAUCCAGGCUUCCCUUACCAGCAUCCUUGAUGACUCAUAGUUUACCCAGUCCUGUGCUUGAAUAGCUCUGUACUGCCCAUGGUAGCAGUAACAGUCGGCUCCCAGGUGGACAUUCCAGUAGUUUCCAAUUGUUCACAGAAGCCAUAGAGAUGCCUGAUCAUCAAAUGCCCAGACAGGAACCCAGGAAAACAAAGGAGGUUGUGAGAAGGUGCUGCCCCCGCACACUUCGUGCCUGGAGUCAUGGAUUUCCUGGUGGAGACCACAGGCACAUCCCCACCACGGUAGAAAGCUCCAAGGCACGGUCUGGUGGUCUUCCCUUCAUCGCUGGCUCACUCUGUCCUCUUUCCUGCACCUGGCUCUUAGACACAAACAUAAUCCCUGCAACCUCCCCAGCAGGUGAAGAUGCUGAUGUGUGGCUGACCUGCUUGUUGAGAGGAGAAAGGCACUCAGUGGCCAGAUCCAGGGCUAUUGACACAGUAAGCUACUAUUAUGAUGUGACCGGAUAUAGGCAUAUCACCUGCUUUGUCAUUCAACAUAAGACAUGAAGACAGAGGAAAGGCAGGAAGGAGGUGUGCAGGGUAGCGAUGGGAGACUGAGGGACCACUGCCACCAUGCUCUUUGUGUCCCUGUGUGGGAACAGAUUACUGCUUUUUUUUUUAACUCUUUUUUAUUUGAAGGGUAGAGUCACACACACAAACACACACACACACACACACACACACAAUCUUCCAUCUACUGGUUCACUCCUCAAAUGGCUGUAAUGGCUGGGUGAGGCUGAGCGAGGAUCUAGGGAAUCCAUUUGGCUCUCCCAUGUGGCUGGCAGGGACCUGAGUACUGGAGCCGUCACCUGCUACCUCCCCAGAUGCAUCAGCAGGUAGCUGGAUCAGAAGCAGAGCAGGGGCCAGCACUGUGAUGCAGUGGGCUACGCCUCCAUCUGCGGCACCAGCAAUCCCAUAGGGGUGCCGGUUCAGGUCCAGGCUACUCCUCUUCUGAUCUUUCUCUGCUAUGGCCUGGGAAGGCAGCAGCAGAUGACCCAAGUGCUUGGGCCCCUGCACCAGUGUGGGAGACCUGGAAGAACCUGCUACCUCCUGGCUUCAGAAUGCGGCCAUUUGGGGAGUGAACCAGCAGACGGAAGCUCUUUCUCUCUGUCUCUCCCUCUCUCUAUUUGUAACUCUACCUCUCAAAUAAAUAAAACACAAAAGGAGGAGGAGGAGGAGAAGCAGCAGCAGCAGCCAGGACUUGAACCUGUGCUCUGCUAUGGGAUACUGGCAUCUCAGGUGAUGACUUAACCCACUGCAAAACAACACCAGCCCCGAGACAUCUGCUGCUUGGAGUUCUCAUCAGUCCUUUGGGAUCUUCAUACCCUUUUGAUUUACCUGUCAGCCUGGCUCGUUUAUAGUAAGCAUUCACCUGGAGCUUUCUUUUUUUCUUUUUUGACAGGCAGAGUUAGACAGUGAGAGAGAGACAGAGAGAAAGGUCUUCCUUCCGUUGGUUCACUCCCCUAAUGGCCACCAUGGCCGGUGCUGCACCAAUUCGAAGCCAGGAGCCGGGUAUUUCCUCCUGGUCUCCCAUGCAGCAAGGACCCAAGCACUUGGGCCAUCCUCCACUGCCUUCCUGGGCCACAGCAGAGAGCUGGACUGGAAGAGGAGCAACCGGGACUAGAACCCAGUGCUGUAACCAGGACUAGAACCUGGGGGUGCUGGCACCACAGGUGGAGGAUUAGCCAAGUGAGCCGUGGCGCUGGCCACACUUGGAGCUUUCAAUGUGACAGACACUGUUCUAACUUCUUUGCCCAGUCAGCCUCGUUACCUUACUUCAUAGAUGGGGAACAUGAAGUGCAGAGAGGUUGGCCAACCUUUCCAAGGACACACAGGACAGAGCAAAGCUGGAUUUGGACCUCAUGUUCAAUCGCUCUCUGCCGUGUUGCCUCUGGGCGAGAUUAACAGAGCCCAGGAAGCGAUUUGGCAGCCAUCCCAGCAGAGGAGGGGGGUGAAGGCGUCACACUUCCCCUUCCCGGUAACCUAAUAAAUGGUGCACUCAGUGUACAGCAGUGAGGGCUCUGGAAACUGCUCUCUGCUCCUCUGUCUGCAAAUGCCACAGGUGGCCUUCUCAGCAAGUCUGGAUUGCUGCCAUCGCCGUCUCCUCCCAGACUCUUUGGCCCUCCUGCUCACUGGAAAGACUACAGUGAGGAUACAGCUGUCGGGGAGAGGAGUGAGUUUUCUAGAAGCAAAAUGGCAUGGAACCCCAGAGUUUCUGUGGCCAGGCUGCUGUGACUCCUACCACCAGGGAGGGCGGAGAGAGAACAGGUGGAACAGACCACUUUACACUGGCUACGGAUGUCUCUGCUCAUCAACACAGCUUACAUGGUAGACUGCAAGUGGAAAAUGAGAAUUCGAAAAUUACAGACCAAGAAGGGCAAUUAGUGUAACUAAAGCAAAAAGAUGGGAUUAAAAAAAAUGUAACAUUUUGCUAACUCAGUGCAGGGGAGCUGUUUUACCAGGGAGUAAAAAUAAACUAUUUUGUAUGCAUUGUGGAUGUGUUAUGUCUUUUCUUCUGCCUGUUGUGGCUGUGUGAGGGGAAGGGCUCACGGGGACCAGAGGCACCAAGGGGUGGCCAGCAAUGCAGGACGUGGAGUCAAAGGGUACCAGGUUCAGAUCCUGGCUCCUGUCAGUUGUGCAGCCUCAAGCAGAUUUUUAUAAUGAAUUCAUUGGUUAAGUAAUGAAUUAGAGACACAGAGAACAAGAGCUCUCGUCUGCUGGCUCAGAAUUUAAUAUCUAAAAAGGAACUCAAACGACUCAAUAGCCAGAAGAGGAGCUGGCUAAGCCUCCACCUGCGGUGCUAACAUCCCUUAUGGGUGCUAGUUCAUUUCUAGGCUGUUCCUCUUCCUGUCCAGCUCUCUGCCAAUGCACCUGGGAAAGCAGUGGAAGAUGGCCCAAGUGCUUGGGCCCCUGCACUCUUAUCUGAUGUAUGGUGUGCAAGUAUUUUCUCUCACUACCUGGGUUGGCUUCCUUCUGUUAAUCAUUUCCUUUGUGGUGCGUAAACUUUUUAGGUUAGUGCAGCCUCAUUUGUC